UACGUAGGCAGCAAGCGUUGUUCGGCAUUACUGGGCGUAAAGAGGGUGUCGGCGGUGCUCUAAGUUCGGUGUGAAAUCUCCCGGCUUAACUGGGAGGGUGCGCCGGAAACUGGAGUGCUUGAGCGCGGGAGAGGAAAGCGGAAUUCCUGGUGUAGCGGUGAAAUGCGUAGAUAUCAGGAGGAACACCUGUGGUGUAGACGGCUUUCUGGACCGUAGCUGACGCUGAGACACGAAAGCGUGGGUAGCAAACAGG
rnacentral:rRNA from 1 species